rnacentral:lncRNA from 1 species
GGCCCUCUGCUCCUUAUGAGUGGUGUUUUGUGGGUGUCCUCCCUUGGUUUUGGAUGGGAAACACCCUUUUCCCUUCCACAGGGAUUGUUUCUGUGGACCCCACCCUGAGUGGGGUCCCUGUUGGGACAACGGGCAGGUGGGGAUGGUGGGACCAACUCUUUAGGACCAGCAGUGCCAAACAGAUCCCACUCCGGGGAAGUUCAUUCUAAGUGUCAUGGGUCCUCUGGAACUUUUUGAAGGUUUCCUGUUUUCUUCUCCCCCUAACCAGCUCAUCUGAUCCCCUGGGAUCUCUACUAAGAUGCUGGCAGCCCAACCACCUGGUCUGGCCCUGGACAUGUCUUCAGGGACUGGUUAUGCUUCAUGACCUGUGUUGCAGUCAUUAUUGUCCCAUGUUUCUGUUUGGGCACCACUGAGGAAGGAAGCAUGAAGGAUGCACACCAUUUUGCACACCCUGGUCAGAAUGAAACAUUCCUUGGGAACUCGGGCCGUGAGAAGCAUCCUUCCUGAUCACCUGACUGUAGAAACAUCCUUAUCGCACCCUCCCAGGCAAAAGCCCAACAGCCUGACUGCAGGAACAUCCUUGCCAUAUCCUGCCGGGCAGCAAGCUCUACCGCCCAGACCCCUCCUUCCCAGUCCUAUGAUCACCCCAGCCUGUGAGAGGCAGUUGGUGCUGGCAGUAAGCUGGUUUCCUCCUCUGCAGGGUUUUGCUAGUAAUAAAGGUGUUGCUGUUGGAGCCGC